UGGAUCACCUCCUAACAGGGAGACAACAAAAUGUCUAAUAUUAUUAUUUUGUCACCUUAGGUCGAUCGGUAUCUCACGUUUUUAAUUUAUUAAGAAUUUCAUUUCCUAAGUUUUUCUAGGUCACACCCAUUAUUUUUCCUGGGCCAUUAGCUCAGGUGGUUAGAGCGCACCCCUGAUAAGGGUGAGGUCCCUGGUUCAAGUCCAGGAUGGCCCAUAUCUCUAUGUUGGGGGUAUAGCUCAGUUGGUAGAGCGCCUGCUUUGCAAGCAGGAUGUCAGCGGUUCGAGUCCGCUUACCUCCACUGAUUACCACCUCUUCCAUAACCGAUAGAAAGGAAAUGUUUUGAGUUGUGAUCAUCAUUCUGAACGAAUCUAGCUUCCUAAUGAAAUCAUUAAGAUGCUGGACUCAUUGAAUUAAUUUUCAUUGUUUUCAGAGAACCUUGACAACUGCAUAGAUUAUUUUUAAAGACAAUAAGCAUCUUUAAUGAUGCAGAUUUAUUAUUUGUGCGAAUGCAUUAAUAACAAUUCUAUUAAGCUGAUGCUUCAAUUUUUGAAGUUAUUGGUCAAGCUACAAAGGGCUCACGGAGGAUACCUAGGCACACAGAGGCGAUGAAGG
rnacentral:tRNA from 1 species